rnacentral:rRNA from 1 species
GAGCGCAACCCUUGUCUUAUGUUGCCAGCAUUUGGUUGGGGACUCAUGAGAGACUGCCGGGGUCAACUCGGAGGAAGGUGGGGAUGACGUCAAAUCAUCAUGCCCCUUAUGUCCAGGGCUUCACACAUGCUACAAUGGUCGGUACAACGCGCAGCGACACUGUGAGGUGGAGCGAAUCGCUGAAAGCCGGCCUUAGUUCGGAUUGGGGUCUGCAACUCGACCCCAUGAAGUCGGAGUCGCUAGUAAUCGCAGAUCAGCAAUGCUGCGGUGAAUACGUUCCCGGGCCUUGUACACACCGCCCGUCACGUCAUGAAAGUUGGUAACACCCGAAGCCGGUGGCCCAAACUUGUUAGGGAGCCGUCGAAGGUGGGAUCGGCGAUUGGGACGAAGUCGUAACAAGGUACCCGUACCGGAAGGUGCGGGUGGAUCACCUCCUUU